UGUAGUCAUAUGCUUGUCUCAAAGAUUAAGCCAUGCAUGUCUAAGUAUAAACAACUUUAUACUGUAAAACUGCGAACGGCUCAUUAUAUCAGCAAUAAUUUAUUUGAUGAUUUCUUACUACAUGGAUAACUGUAGUAAUUCUAGAGCUAAUACAUGCGCAAAGUCCUAACUCGCGAGGGGAGGGAUGUAUUUAUUAGAUACAAAACCAAUGCGGGUUCUGCCCGCCAUUGUGUUGAAUCAUAGUAACUUAUCGAACGCCAUAGCCUUGUGCUGGGCGUAGAUCAUUCAAAUUUCUGCCCUAUCAGCUUUCGACGGUAGUGUAGUGGAGUACCGUGGCGUUAACGGGUAACGGGGA
rnacentral:rRNA from 1 species